UACGGAGGGUGCGAGCGUUGUCCGGAAUCACUGGGCGUAAAGGGCGCGUAGGUGGCGCGAGGAGUCUGUGGUGAAAGCCCGAGGCUCAACUUCGGGUCGGCCGCGGAUACUCUCGUGCUGGAGGGUGGUAGAGGCCAAUGGAAUUCCGGGUGUAGCGGUGGAAUGCGUAGAUAUCAGGAGGAACACCUGUGGCGAAAGCGGCUCACUGGACCAUAACUGACGCUGAUGCACGAAAGCUAGGGGAGCAAACAGG
rnacentral:rRNA from 1 species